GGAAUCUUCCACAAUGGACGAAAGUCUGAUGGAGCAACGCCGCGUGAGUGAAGAAGGUCUUCGGAUCGUAAAACUCUGUUGUUAGAGAAGAACAUGCAGGAGAGUAACUGUUCUUGUAUUGACGGUAUCUAACCAGAAAGCCACGGCUAACUACGUGCCAG
rnacentral:rRNA from 1 species